rnacentral:rRNA from 1 species
CGUGGGUAACCUGCCCAAGAGACUGGGAUAACACCUGGAAACAGAUGCUAAUACCGGAUAACAACACUAGACGCAUGUCUAGAGUUUAAAAGAUGGUUCUGCUAUCACUCUUGGAUGGACCUGCGGUGCAUUAGCUAGUUGGUAAGGUAACGGCUUACCAAGGCAAUGAUGCAUAGCCGAGUUGAGAGACUGAUCGGCCACAUUGGGACUGAGACACGGCCCAAACUCCUACGGGAGGCAGCAGCC